UACAGAGGUCCCAAGCGUUGUUCGGAUUCACUGGGCGUAAAGAGCGUGUAGGCGGUCCGGUAAGUCAGCUGUGAAAGUCAAGGGCUCAACCCUUGAAUGCCGGUUGAUACUGUCGGGCUAGAGUCCGGAAGAGGCGAGUGGAAUUCCCGGUGUAGCGGUGAAAUGCGCAGAUAUCGGGAGGAACACCAGUGGCGAAGGCGGACGACGUGGGAAGAUACUGACGCUAGGUGCGAAGCGUGGGAGCAACAGGAUAACAUGACCG
rnacentral:rRNA from 1 species